rnacentral:lncRNA from 1 species
UUCCAUCUGAGUGGGAUCCUCUGCGCUCGCGUUUUGGUCUGGUCUCCCAGUUUAGCGCCUGGGAAACACACUGAAUGAGGUGACAGUGAGCCCCAAGCAAGUCCCUCCCUCUGUUCCUAAUGAGCUGAUUGAUCUCUGGCAACUUACCUUCCUGGCCUUCCAUUUUGUUUCCUGAAAAAAAGAAAAGACGACAAUCAAUGUUUUGCACACUGUGCUCCGUAGAUCUCCAAAAGGUGCCCCAGAGGGGAUCCGAUGGAAGGGUGGGUGGAGAAGGCGAGAGGCUCUGCAUCCUCAGUCGCGCUCUAGCUAGAGCUGUGCCGUUUUUAUCUGUUAUAUAUAUUGAGGUUCUAAAGAAGGUGCCUCUGAAGGAAAGGUUCUGUUGCUAAUUUUUUUUUUUUUUUUUUAAAAAGGAAGGAAGAAGAAAGAGAGGGAGGGUGGAGGGAGGACCCCGCAGCAGUCAGGAGCAGUCAGACUUCUCACUGCUGCAAUAGUCUGUGCUUAAAGGAUCACAUAUUCUAGUGCUCAGGGAGGGCCUUUUCCAGAAGUAAUCAUCCUCAGAGGCUUCAUGAGUUUCUUUCCUCCCUCCCUGUUGUUAACGUGCAGGAGAGAGCAGGCAGCGAGCAGACGGGGCCAAGGGGAGCUGGCUUUACAGCUUGGUUUGUGCAGUCGAGAAGCAGAGCAUUGGGCUGAAGGACCUGUGGAGACUCCUUCCACAUCGUAAUGACUGAAGUAGCUGAAAGGAGGGCUGGAGAACUGUUUCAUCUUUUCUGCACCCCGGCAUGCCUGAGACUGAGGAGGCAGAGAGACAUCUAGAAGGAAGAUAUCUGCCACCCCCAGAGGUGGAAGGACGAUUCCACACGGAGCGUAAUGCCUUGCACUCAGUAGAUAGUCAAUAAAGGUUGAUGGAGGUGACAGGAACAAAAUGGGCUCUAGGACGGAGUCACUACAGGGAGGUCUGCAGGCUCACUAGCUGACUCUGCUGUGGAGCUGGGGGCUCGCUGCUUCUCUGAUCCUGGAGGACGCUUCUCAGGUUCGUAUGUCAACCUAAAGCACUGAAAACAGCUCAGAAGUGGGGGGAACUGCAGUCUACUAGUUUAAUUUCCCCACCUUGCAGAGAGAAAAAAAAAACAGCCUUAAAAGGAAACAAUGUAACAAGUAACGAGCGCCCUGGCUCCUUUGAGAAAUGUCUGACAUGACAUCGAUGUUGCAUUGGGGACAACUGCAAUCACACCUUUCCUACUUGGAGACUUGCUGAAAUGGGGCAGAAAACGAAAUGGGACUGAGAGGGGCUGUCCUGGAAGCCCCCUCCUCACGAAUAUCUGUUAUUUAUGAGGGUAUCAGAGCUCAAAAAUGCUCCAAGUUCACAGUCCCACUUUUAUCACAGAAAUGAUGGGCAGGGAGGAGGCAUAAAUGUCUGCUUAGAAAAUAAAAACCGAACAUCAGAAUCAGGAGAAAUGGCCAUAAAUUCCCCCUGAUGAGUGGUGUAUUUGAUCAAUCAAUCAGCUUUGCAGAACAGCCAUGUCACCAGCAACAGCCAUCCACUUCCCUGGGACCCAAGGCACAGCGAGUGAGCCCAGGCACCCCUGAAUGAAGAGCAGGAUGCAGAGCUGUUCCUGAGCCCCAUCCACACAAGAGCAGCUUCCCUUCCCCUGCGUCCCACUGAAGACCUCCCUCCACCACCACUGCUCUGCCCAGCCCAGGCCACAGGGAUGGGAGAUCUCCCUCAGGCAAGGCAGCAGUCUUGAAACCCCACACCAGACACCAGGUGAGAAGAUGGAACGAGGGACCAGGCAUGGCCAGGAGACAGUGCUCCCCUAGGCAGGCAAGAGUGCUCCUGACCAGGAAACAGAAGUCAGGCAGGACAAUGAGCAUCUUGAGGAGGGACUUUUUCAUGGGAAAAGGAACACCAGAGGCCUAAACUCUGAAAAUAUCCCAUUGGUUUGUUUUUUUUGACUGGGACAAAGACUUAUUUUUAUUGACAAGGAAAAGUGUGUGUUACAUUUAAUCAAAAAAAGCACGUUGGAGAGCAGCAUUCUUUAUGCAGAUUAAAAGCAAACAGUCUAUUCAUUUGAUUUGCUUUUUCCCGUUGGUUUGCUAUUAGGAGAAUCUUCCUUGGCCAUUUUGAGAAAAUGUCUCAUGUCCCUCCCAUGGAAUCUGGAUUAAGAUGUAGUGUUAUUUCUGCCCAUGUUUCCUUACUUUCUAUCACCAAAAGGAACUUAUCGAGAAAAACAUGCUGGCGAAGAUGUGAAGAAAAGGCAACUCUUAUGCACUGUUGGGGGGAAUGCAAACUGGUGCAGCCACUAAGA